AUGGACGAAAGUCUGACCGAGACGACGCCGCGUGAGUGUAGAAGGUUUUCGGAUCGUAAAGCUCUGUUGUAAGUCAAGAACGUGUGUGAGAGUGGAAAGUUCACACAGUGACGGUAGCUUACCAGAAAGGGACGGCUAACUACGUGCCAGCAGCCGCGGUAAUACGUAGGUCCCGAGCGUUGUCCGGAUUUAUUGGGCGUAAAAGGGAGCGCAGGCGGUCAGGAAAGUCUGGAGUAAAAGGCUAUGGCUCAACCAUAGUGUGCUCUGGAAACUGUCUGACUUGAGUGCAGAAGGGGAGAGUGGAAUUCCAUGUGUAGCGGUGAAAUGCGUAGAUAUAUGGAGGAACACCAGUGGCGAAAGCGGCUCUCUGGUCUGUCACUGACGCUGAGGCUCGAAAGCGUGGGUAGCGAACAGGAUUAGAUACCCUGGUAGUCCACGCCGUAAACGAUGAGUGCUAGGUGUUAGGCCCUUUCCGGGGCUUAGUGCCGGAGCUAACGCAAUAAGCACUCCGCCUGGGGAGUACGACUGCAAGGUUGAAACUCAAAGGAAUUGACGGGGGCCCGCACAAGCGGUGGAGCAUGUGGUUUAAUUCGAAGCAACGCGAAGAACCUUACCAGGUCUUGACAUCCCGAUGCUAUUCUUAGAGAUAGGAAGUUACUUCGGUACAUCG
rnacentral:rRNA from 1 species